ensembl:lncRNA
CCAGCUACAGGUGUGUAGUAGAGAACCAGCUACAGGUGUGUAGUAGAGAACCAGCUACAGGUGUGUAGUAGAGAACCAGCUACAUGUAUGUAGUAGAGAACCAGCUACAGGUGUGUAGUAGAGAACCAGCUACAGGUGUGUAGUAGAGAACCAGCUGCAGGUGUGUAGUAGAGAACCAGCUACAGGUGUGUAGUAGAGAACCAGCUACAGGUGUGUAGUAGAGAACCAGCUACAGGUGUGUAGUAGAGAACCAGCUACAGGUGUGUAGUAGAGAACCAGCUACAGGUGUGUAGUAGAGAACCAGCUACAGGUGUGUAGUAGACAACCAGCUACAGGUGUGUAGUAGAGAACCAGCUAGAACAUGUUAAUUAUAGCCUAUGCCCAGGCUUUUUUCCCCGUUUUUGUUUUACAAUUUUUGUCAUGUUAAAUAUUGGCCGCUAUCGGGACCCACCCUCAGUAAUACCCACAUACAUUUAUAACGGUCACUUUACUUACAUUUACAUUUGAGUCAUUUAUCAGACGCUCUUAUCAAGAGUGACUUACAGUUCAUUCAUCUUAAGAUAGUUAGGUGGGACAGCCACAUACAUAUCACAGGCAGAGAAACGACAUUUUUACUUAGCUAUCAGUAUAGUCAGAGCUAGAAGGUCUUGUAGUGGAUACGAGCUUCGACUGGAAGCCAGUGGAGUGUGCGGAGGAGCAGGGGGACAUGAGAGAACUUGAGAAAGUUGAAAACCCAGGGGUUUGAUGGCACAAGCCUGGAGCCCAGCCAACUGUGAGUUGCGGUAGUGCAGAUGGGAGAUGACAGGUGCCUGGAUUAGGACCUGCGCCGCUUCCUGUGUGAGGUGAGGUUGUACCCUACGGAUGCUGUAGAGCAUGAACCUGCAGUAGUGCAGAUGGGAGAUGACAGGUGCCUGGAUUAGGACCUGCGCCGCUUCCUGUGUGAGGUGGGGUUGUACUCUACGGAUGUUGUAGAGCACGAACCUGCAGUAGCGAGUCACUGCUUUGAUGUUUUACAGAGAACGACAGGGUGUUGUCCAGGGUCACGCCAAGGUUCUUUGCACUCUGGGAGGGCGACACUGGAGUUGUCAACCGGGAUGGAGAGGUCUUCAAUUUGUACCUUACAUUUAGCAUCAUUUAGCAUCAUUCCUUUAACCUUUCUUUCCUCUGCCAUGUCCUUGUCGUUGUUCCUGAGGGUCACUAGCAUUAGUGGAUUAUAUUAGGCUAACUUUGUGUUGUAAUUUAGGAUAUGUAGCCCAUUUUGAAUCAUUAUGGAACUCAGACCACCACAUAGCAGGUUAAACCUGGCACCUGGCUAACGGUUCACAACGGCUGGAAGGUUGCCGUACAGUUCCAUGAUUGGUGGGAAUUAUGGUAGAUUUAUAGGACUAUUGUUCAACCCCUAUUUACAUUUUUUAUCCACCUGAAUUUGAAUAUGAUAACUUUCAGGAUGAAUCAAACCACUGUAUUUUUUAUUCAUCAAUAUAUUUAUUGCGUAAAUGAUCUCAAAACCAGUUUUAUUUCAUGAAUCAUACAUACUAUCCUGACCCUAAAAUGUCCCUAAAUAAUCUACAAAACCAGAGUGUCUACGGAGACGAAUAUGCAUAGAUGGCAUUCUUUCAUUGAUCCCUAUUUUCUGAACCCAUUCUCCCCCAAAAAUGUUGUGUGUAUUGACAAAAUUCAAAUGAAAGUGUACACCGUAUUUAAAGGGAUGGCUUAAAAUAAAUGUACUGAAAUCUCUACUGAAUGAAAACUCCACAAGAAAAUCUGUUGGCCACCAAGUGGGAGGGUUUUCAGCAGUUGAAUUCCAUUUAUUCAUCAUGCAAAAUGGAACCACGCCUGCAAAGC